GGCGACCGGCGCACGGGUGAGUAACACGUAUCCAACCUGCCUUAUACUCGGGGAUAGGCUUUCGAAAGAAAGAUUAAUACCCGAUGGCAUAGUUCUUUCGCAUGUUAGGACUAUUAAAGAAUUCGGUAUAAGAUGGGGAUGCGUUCCAUUAGCUUGUUGGUAAGGUAACGGCUUACCAAGGCAUCGAUGGAUAGGGGUUCUGAGAGGAAGGUCCCCCACACUGGAACUGAGACACGGUCCAG
rnacentral:rRNA from 1 species